AUCGGCUCUUGCAUGGCUGGAUUCGUAGCGGUGACCUUUCGCGUGUCAGAGAUCGGCUCUUGCAUGGCUGGAUUCGUAGCGGUGACCUUUCGCGUGUCAGAGAUCGGCUCUUGCAUGGCUGGAUUCGUAGCGGUGACCUUUCGCGUGUCAGAGAUCGGCUCUUGCGUGGCUGGAUUCGUACGGGUGACCUUUCACGUGUCAGAGAUCGGCUCUUGCGUGGCUGGAUUCGUAGCGGUGACCUUUCACGUGUCGGAUA